UAGUAGUCUGAUGGAUCGAAAGAUGAAGGGCGAGAAGCUGGAUGGAAAUCUGGUAAAAGGGCGCAAGAGAUCCGGUGGAUCUCUGCUCUGCGCGGACCGAAGCGAAGCGUAGACCGGCAUGUUGCGUAAGGAUAAUUAACCACAGAGGGCGAGAAGUUCGUCCUUAUCCUCAAAAGGCUAAAAGAGGAGAUAGUGCUUCUGAUAAUUCAGAAGGGCGUCGUGAAACACAUUUUGUGGCUCGUCUGUAACUCCCGGAGGUGAGAACACCUCUUUGUACACGGGGCGAUAUAGGAGUCUAGAAGACUGGCGUGUACCUACA
ncrna:unclassified sequences Clostridiales-3 RNA